rnacentral:rRNA from 1 species
UACGAAGGGGGCUAGCGUUGCUCGGAAUCACUGGGCGUAAAGGGUGCGUAGGCGGGUCUUUAAGUCAGGGGUGAAAUCCUGGAGCUCAACUCCAGAACUGCCUUUGAUACUGAAGAUCUUGAGUUCGGGAGAGGUGAGUGGAACUGCGAGUGUAGAGGUGAAAUUCGUAGAUAUUCGCAAGAACACCAAUGGCGAAGGCAGCUCUCUGGGACGGUACUGACGCUGAGACGCGAAAGCGUGGGGAGCGAACAGG